rnacentral:rRNA from 1 species
UACGGGGGGGGCAAGCGUUGUUCGGAAUUACUGGGCGUAAAGGGCUCGUAGGCGGCCAACUAAGUCGGAUGUGAAAUCCCCAGGCUUAACUUGGGAACUGCGUCUGAUACUGGAUGGCUUGAGUUUGGGAGAGGGAUGCGGAAUUCCAGGUGUAGCGGUGAAAUGCGUAGAUAUCUGGAGGAACACCGGUGGCGAAGGCGGCAUCCUGGACCAACACUGACGCUGAGUGAGCGAAAGCCAGGGGAGCAAACGGG